rnacentral:lncRNA from 1 species
AAAUUAAAUAAAUAAAAAGAAGACAGCAUGUAAAAUUCCUGUCUAGACUGGAUUCAGGUUUUGCUUGUUUGUUCUGUACCUCAUUCAAGGUACAUUGCAGUGACAGAGUGGAGACACCUUUGCUGGCCUUUGCUCCCUUAUAGCAAAUGCGUCAUGGGCAGAUGUGGGCUGGCUAGAGACUGCCUGCGCCUAUGCGCCUAUUAAGGUGUUAAAACAUUCAUUCUGUCAA